CCUGGAUACAAGGCUAGUAUUGUUAACAUCAUCUGAUACAAUCAACUUGAACAAAGCUGAAAUGGCUGCCUGACCUGACUUAAAAAUCGGAUGGCAAUACAUCAGACUAGAAGAUUAUUAGUAUUGAGAUGGACAAAAUGAAACAUGAGCCUACCAAAGCUGACAGAUUGCACAAGAAACACAUAAAUGCAGAAACCAUAUUGAGGAGCUGGUCCACCUGUAGGAAGAAUUGCGCUAUUGGUUGGAGCAGCACUAUUCCCCAGCCAUACACCAGCACUUAGUAUGUCAUAGGGAGCAUUUCUGAGCAGUUAUGGAGACCACUAACUAUGCAGUUGUUGCAGUGAAACUUGCACCAGUGUGUUUUCUGUCGAAAUAAAGAGAUAGUGUCCAGCAAUGAAGACCCAACUCAAGAUCUGACCUUGUAAGGCCAAUAUGAAAUAACUGUGUGGAAA